rnacentral:rRNA from 1 species
GACGGGGGGGGCAAGUGUUAUUCGGAAUGACUGGGCGUAAAGGGCACGUAGGCGGUGAAUCGGGUUGGAAGUUAAAGGCGCCGGCUCAACUGGCGGAAUGCUUUCAAAACCAAUUCACUUGAGUGGGAUAGAGGAGAGUGGAAUUUCGUGUGUAGGGAUGGAAUCCGGAGAUAUACGAAGGAACGCCGAAAUAGCGAAGGCAGCUUUCUGGGUCUCUACUGACGCUGAGGUGCGAAAGCUUGGGGAGCAAACAGG